rnacentral:rRNA from 1 species
UACAGAGGUGGCAAGCGUUGUUCGGAAUUACUGGGCGUAAAGGGCGCGUAGGCGGCCUUCUAAGUCAGACGUGAAAUCCCCAGGCUUAACUUGGGAACUGCGUCUGAUACUGGAAGGCUCGAGUGCGGGAGAGGGAUGUGGAAUUCCAGGUGUAGCGGUGAAAUGCGUAGAUAUCUGGAGGAACACCGGUGGCGAAGGCGGCAUCCUGGACCGACACUGACGCUGAGGCGCGAAAGCUAGGGGAGCAAACGGG